GUUUGAUCCUGGCUCAGAUUGAACGCUGGCGGCAUGCCUUACACAUGCAAGUCGAACGGCAGCACGGGAGCAAUCCUGGUGGCGAGUGGCGAACGGGUGAGUAAUGUAUCGGAACGUACCUUUCAGUGGGGGAUAACGUAGCGAAAGUUACGCUAAUACCGCAUAUUCUGUGAGCAGGAAAGCAGGGGAUCGCAAGACCUUGCGCUGAUUGAGCGGCCGAUAUCAGAUUAGCUAGUUGGUGGGGUAAAGGCCUACCAAGGCGACGAUCUGUAGCGGGUCUGAGAGGAUGAUCCGCCACACUGGAACUGAGACACGGUCCAGACUCCUACGGGAGGCAGCAGUGGGGAAUUUUGGACAAUGGGCGCAAGCCUGAUCCAGCCAUGCCGCGUGCGGGAAGAAGGCCUUCGGGUUGUAAACCGCUUUUGUCAGGGAAGAAAAGCUCCGACCUAAUACGACGGAGUCAUGACGGUACCUGAAGAAUAAGCACCGGCUAACUACGUGCCAGCAGCCGCGGUAAUACGUAGGGUGCAAGCGUUAAUCGGAAUUACUGGGCGUAAAGCGUGCGCAGGCGGCUUUGCAAGACAGAUGUGAAAUCCCCGGGCUUAACCUGGGAACUGCAUUUGUGACUGCAUGGCUGGAGUGCGGCAGAGGGGGAUGGAAUUCCGCGUGUAGCAGUGAAAUGCGUAGAUAUGCGGAGGAACACCGAUGGCGAAGGCAAUCCCCUGGGCCUGCACUGACGCUCAUGCACGAAAGCGUGGGGAGCAAACAGGAUUAGAUACCCUGGUAGUCCACGCCCUAAACGAUGUCAACUGGUUGUUGGACGGCUUGCUGUUCAGUAACGAAGCUAACGCGUGAAGUUGACCA
rnacentral:rRNA from 1 species